GGAAGCGUCGUACUGUGCCACUCAGAGUGUGAGCUGAGAUACAACGAUCGCGUGUAUACGAUAUAAUAGCUUCUGCACAUUGAUCUAUUCAUUUCAGUUCCUUUCUGUCUUUUUUCCGCAUUAUCGAUGGAUACGUCUGUCAGUUACCACGCUACUUCGGAGACGUCCACGGCUGGAACGAAGAUGGUUUCAUCUAAUCAGCCGCGGAAAACAAAAAUAUUUGUGGGCCGGUUGCCAGAAAAUUGUCGCAAUGAUGAAUUGCGACAAUUAUUCUUGCGCUUUGGUGAAGUGACAGAAUGUGAUGUCAUGAAUCGAUAUGGUUUCGUCCACAUGGCACGGGAAGAGGAUGCAGCUGCAGCAAUUAAGGCACUUCACAAUUCCAACUUCAAAGGAGCGACGAUCAACGUGGAACAGUCAACCGGGAAGUCACGUGGAGGUGGAGGAGGACGCCGAGAUGACCGAAGAGGUGGACCAAUGAGAGGUGGUAGGGGAGGACGAGACGGUGGUAGAGACGCUCGUCCUGGACCAUACAAUGAUAGAAGAGGUGGCGUCGCAACCGGGUACACCGAUUACAAUCGUGGAGCUGGAGACUUUAGCGGCCGUGGGGCGGACUUUGGUGCUAGCUAUGCUGAUCGCACUUAUGGUCAGAACGUGGGUGGCGCGGCGAUGGGUUACACCUCGACGGCGCCAGGAAUGGGUGGCGGAUAUGGACCAGCUGCCGGUGCCGUGGGAGGAUACGGACCGACCGGUGCGGCGGAUUAUGGACGAACGGCUGAUUACGGUCGCGCUGACUUCGGUGCUAGAACAGACUAUGUAGUUGGUGGUGGUAUGGCGGGAGAUUUCAAUCGUGGUGCACCUGGUCCAGUAGAUUAUGGUCGUACCGAUAAUUUUGGCGCCAGUCGCACGGUCGAUUAUACAGCUAGAAAUGAUUAUGACCGAAGUGCGACUGGACCAAUGAGAAACGGUGGUGGCGCCGUUGCCACUACUGGAUAUGGAACUGGGUACACAGAUGUGGGAUAUGAUGAAAGUCACUGGCCCAUGAGUACUGGACCUAGCUACAGCACUGGAGCACCUAGUUACAGCACUGGUCCAGGACCACAAGCUGAUAUGUUUAGUAGAAGACCUGGCAGUGCCGUACCCAGUGGUGGAUAUCCACCAGUAGCUGGCGGUUAUGCCGAGGGAUAUGACAGACCAGAUGCAUAUGGUCCUCCACGUGGUGGCGGACGCUUCCCAGGUCCGGCAGACGCGAUGCCACCGAGGUACUAAAAAUAUACUAAAGCAAACAUGCUAGCGCAUGCGAAAGGCAACCGUAUAAAAAAAAAAUCAUAAAAAAAUCACCGCCUUUUAAGCAGCGAUCAUUCGCUUAUGGACUUGAUUAUCUAGGAACUCUGCCCUCUGCGUCCGACAUUGAGUCCAUAUGAUUAUAAUGACAAACUUAUAUAUAACUUAUAAUGUUUAAUUCUAUCAUAAGAUAUGGUAAGGAUAAUCCACUUAUCAGUGGAUGACAUAAAUUUGAUCGAAAUUGAAAAAUUUAUUAUUAAUUAAUAACAAAAUUUAUAUAUCUCUUACGUUAGUUUAUUGUGUGUUUGAAAAGAAUUUUCAGGAUAUUAUUCAUGUAGAUCAUCUUUUUUUCUUAUUGUCUUUUUCUAUGAAUAAAUAAAAUCCAAUAUGUUAUUUAACGUGGGUUGAAUAUUUCCCUUAACUUAAUUUUCUGAAUGCCCACAUUGUAGCGUAGAUAAUUUUACUACAUUCAAUAGCUUUAAUUCUCUACAAAGGGUGACUUAUACUAUUGAUAAUGUUGCUGUACAAUCUUUUUUUAACACUUAAAAGAACUCAAACAUAAUAUUUUAAAUGUUCAUUCAUAAAGAGCAGAGAAACUUACAUAUAUAAUAACAGUUAUCAUACAUUUAAUGUAUCUUUAUAUAAAAGAAAUAAAGUGCAAAUGAAUGUAAGUAAUCUUUAUUUAAAAUCUUUAAUAAUAUAAUAUAAUUUAUUUCUUCUUUCAGUCGUUUUGUGCGUAAUAAAACUGUUACUAAAUUUAAUUAGUUAUUGAUUGUUAAAGUAUAAAAAAUAUAAUUUUAUCAAUAACAUCUAUUUUCAAUUUGUAAUUCAUGAGAAAAAGUAUUUGUCAUUUUGCCUUUAUUUUUCUUUGUCGUUGCAUAUUUAUUAUUCAUAUAAAUGUCAAGAAUUUAAUUCUCAUAAUAUUAUUUAAAAAGCUGAUUUAGUUUGGAGAGAGAUAUCAAGUUACAGCAGCGAUAUCAGAUAGAAUACUAGUUAUUCAUCUGACAUAUCUACUUGCACUAUUCGCAGAAGCGAAGAAAUCAAUUAGUAAUAAUCAGCGUGCGUUCAACUAUGUUACUCAAUGUUAAUUCUUAAUUCGACGAUGUUGUGCAUUGUAAUCUUAAAUUAUUUUUAGGAGAAUUAAUUUUAUAAUAAUCUAAUAUAAAGUAUAUGUGAAGUUGAAAGUUAUAUAUUAUUAUAUAAACGCAUCAUGUAACGAUACAGUAUAUGAUAAUGUAUGAUAAUGAAACAGUAUAAAAAUCUAUUUAAUAAUAUUCCAAAACAAAAAAUUUUGAAAAGAGACAAACUCUGUCAUAGAUAUAGGAAGAUCUAAAAAAAAAACUCGAUAACAAUGCAAAACGUCAAUCUCCAGCUGGUGCAGUUUACUUAGUUAGGUACUGCACUGAAACGCUGAUUUGUGAACGCGUGCGGUGAACGCGUUGCCGUACGUUACCUUGGGGCGGCUUGUUGACCUGCGAUUAUUGAAGAAACCGAUUACGACGAUUACUCGCUAUGCGUGGCUACCCGUAGAUGCGACCCGAUCGGCGAAUAAACCAACCUGCGAUAUAUGGAUAAUGCGCCACAAAUUGCGUUUGCGCUCAAAGCUGGCGUGCUUUGAAUUUGACCAAGAAGAAGAUUACAAACGGGAUGAGGAGAGACCAAUGGACAUUGAGAUGAACUCAAUAGGAACUUCUAAUAACAGAAGCAUUCAGUGAACUCGUUUACAUGUCCAAGGAAGGAGAUUUAUGUGUGAAGAAGAUGGAUAAUAAAGCCUGGCCACUUAUGUAACGAGAAGCUGGGUUCAGGUCCAACACCACCUGCUAAUUUGUACACGAGUGAGACUACUUCUGUAGCUAAUUUGCCAACAUCUGAUGAGUUUUCACAUUCUGCAUAAACUCGCACGAUGUCUUCAGUUCCAGAAGG